AGAGUUUGAUCCUGGCUCACAUUGAACGCUGGCGGAAUGCUUUACACAUGCAAGUCGAACGGUAGAGGGGGCAACCCCUUGAGAGUGGCGAACGGGUGAGUAAUAUAUCGGAACGUGCCCAGUCGUGGGGGAUAACGUAGUGAAAAUUACGCUAAUACCGCAUACGAUCUAAGGAUGAAAGCGGGGGAUCGCAAGACCUCGCGCGACUGGAGCGGCCGAUAUCAGAUUAGGUAGUUGGUAGGGUAAAGGCCUACCAAGCCAACGAUCUGUAGCUGGUCUGAGAGGACGACCAGCCACACUGGAACUGAGACACGGUCCAGACUCCUACGGGAGGCAGCAGUGGGGAAUUUUGGACAAUGGGCGAAAGCCUGAUCCAGCCAUUCCGCGUGCAGGAUGAAGGCCCUCGGGUUGUAAACUGCUUUUGUACAGAACGAAAAGGUCUCUAUUAAUACUAGGGGUUCAUGACGGUACUGUAAGAAUAAGCACCGGCUAACUACGUGCCAGCAGCCGCGGUAAUACGUAGGGUGCAAGCGUUAAUCGGAAUUACUGGGCGUAAAGCGUGCGCAGGCGGUUAUAUAAGUCAGAUGUGAAAUCCCCGGGCUCAACCUGGGAACUGCAUUUGAGACUGUAUAGCUAGAGUACGGUAGAGGGGGAUGGAAUUCCGCGUGUAGCAGUGAAAUGCGUAGAUAUGCGGAGGAACACCGAUGGCGAAGGCAAUCCCCUGGACCUGUACUGACGCUCAUGCACGAAAGCGUGGGGAGCAAACAGGAUUAGAUACCCUGGUAGUCCACGCCCUAAACGAUGUCAACUGGUUGUUGGGUCUUAACUGACUCAGUAACGAAGCUAACGCGUGAAGUUGACCGCCUGGGGAGUACGGCCGCAAGGUUGAAACUCAAGGAAUUGACNGGGACCCGCACA
rnacentral:rRNA from 1 species